AAAUUACACCGACAGCAAUCGUGGGGAAGACAGUGAUACAACUAGCACCUUAAAGCUCGGUAAAUCCAACAUCAGUGGACAUCCAUGCAAAGAAAAGAAGAAAACCUUUUUUAAAAAGACAGAAAGCAUUCCACCAUACGAUGUAGUGCCUUCCGUCCGGCCAGUGGUCCUCGUAGGUCCAUCUCUCAAGGGUUAUGAAGUCACGGACAUGAUGCAGAAAGCCAUUUUUGAUUUCUUAAAGCACAAGUUCGAAGGCAGGAUUAUCAUCACUCGGGUGACAUCUGAUAUCUCCUUGGCCAAGCGAUCUCUGCUGAACAACCCAAGCAAAAGAGCUAUAGUGGAGAAAUCCAGUAGUCGGGCGUCGUGUUUAGCUAAAGUCCAGGAGGAAAUAGAGAGAAUAUUUGAAUUAGCUCGGACGUUACAGCUGGUGGUAUUAGACUGUGAUACAAUAAACCACCCUUCCCAACUUACCAAGACUUCCCUAUCGCCUAUUAUUGUAUAUCUUAAAAUAUCUUCCCCAAAGGUUCUUCAGCGGUUGAUCAAAUCCAGAGGAAAGUCACAAAGUAGAAAUUUGAAUGUUCAGAUGGUCGCAGCAGAAAAGUUAGCUCAAUGUCCUCCUGAAAUGUUCGACGCGAUACUGGACGAGAAUCAGCUGGAAGAUGCCUGUGAACACCUGGGAGAGAUUCUGGAAAGCUACUGGGAAGCCUUACACCCACCUGUAAAGGCAUCACCUCCUACUGUCCCCCGUCCCAUCCUCUCUCCUCGAGUGGAUCCUAUUGGCCUGUCGAGACAUAAUUCCACUCCUCCAGUUCGAUUCACAAGUGACAGAACACGUACAAGGAGGUCGGAAAAGAUUUCAUCGGAGUUUGAUCAACAUGCCAUGUUACCGAGGUCUGUCGAGUUUGAUCAACAUGCCACGUUACCGAGGUCUGUCGAGUUUGAUCAACAUGCCACGUUACCGAGGUCUGUCGAGAUUCUAGAACAUCAAGCAGUGACGGCUUCCUCAUGUAACCAUCCUCACAGCGGUGCCAGAAAUAGAAUUUAUGACCAAUAUAUGGACUGGCCAGAUGACCGUGAUCCCUAUCUUGAUGACUAUGGCCCUCUCGAAGCACACGGUUCGGAGUCAGACCAAAUCGCGACUGUAGUGGAUUAUGACUCACAGCAUGACCAAGACGUAUUAAACGAUACAAAUUACCACAGAGAUCAGAGACGUGCUCGUCAUCCAAUGAAUGGUGUCUAGUACACUAAGACGCAAGAAAAAAAUUGUAUACACGUUUCUGGCUUACAAGUGUUGUUCCAUAUAUAUAUAUAUCUAUGUGUGUGUGUG
rnacentral:misc_RNA from 1 species